AUUGAACGCUGGCGGCAUGCCUUACACAUGCAAGUCGAACGGUAACAGGGAGCUUGCUCCGCUGACGAGUGGCGAACGGGUGAGUAAUGUAUCGGAACGUACCAUUCAGUGGGGGAUAACGUAGCGAAAGUUACGCUAAUACCGCAUAUUCUGUGAGCAGGAAAGCAGGGGAUCGCAAGACCUUGCGCUGAUUGAGCGGCCGAUAUCAGAUUAGCUAGUUGGUGAGGUAAAGGCUCACCAAGGCGACGAUCUGUAGCGGGUCUGAGAGGAUGAUCCGCCACACUGGAACUGAGACACGGUCCAGACUCCUACGGGAGGCAGCAGUGGGGAAUUUUGGACAAUGGGGGGCAACCCUGAUCCAGCCAUGCCGCGUGAGUGAAGAAGGCCUCGG
rnacentral:rRNA from 1 species